GUCGAUGGUAGGUUACGCGCCUACCAUGGUUGUCACGGGUGACGGGGAAUCAGGGUUCGAUUCCGGAGAGGGAGCCUGAGAAACGGCUACCACAUCCAAGGAAGGCAGCAGGCGCGCAAAUUACCCACUCCCGGCACGGGGAGGUAGUGACGAAAAAUAACGAUACGGGACUCAUAUGAGGCUCCGUAAUCGGAAUGAGUACACUUUAAAUCCUUUAACGAGGAUCCACUGGAGGGCAAGUCUGGUGCCAGCAGCCGCGGUAAUUCCAGCUCCAGUAGUCUAUGCCAAAGUUGUUGCGGUUAAAAAGCUCGUAGUUGGAUCUCGGUUCGAGACGGUUGGACCGCCUUUCGGGCGGUUUUCCUGACCGCUGCGAACAGAAUGAACUGGCACGUCCGGCGGUGCUCUUCAUCGAGUGUCGUCGGGUGGCCGGUGCGUUUACUUUGAAAAAAUUAGAGUGCUCAAAGCGGGCGGAGAUGCCAGAAUAAUAGUGCAUGGAAUAAUGAAAUAGGAUCUCGGUUCUAUUUUGUUGGUUCUCGGAACGCGAGAUAAUGAUUAAUAGGAACAGACGGGGGCAUUCGUAUUGCGACGUUAGAGGUGAAAUUCUUGGAUCGUCGCAAGACGGAC
rnacentral:rRNA from 1 species